UUUCCGUAGGUGAACCUGCGGAAGGAUCAUUAACGAGUUGUCAUGGGGUUCGAUGCUGGCAGCCAGUUUUUGGAUGCAUGUGCUUGCCCUAACAAUCAUCUUCUUCCAAACACCUGUGCACAUUUUUGAGGGAGUCUUGAGUUGGUUGCCGCUCUUGGGUGAUUUUCUCACAUUCCCUUAAAUCAUUAUACGCUAUUAACAAUGUUGAACGUGCUCUGUGCCGCAAGGCCAUUAAUAUAAUACAACUUUUAACAACGGAUCUCUUGGCUCUCGCAUCGAGAAGAACGCAGC
rnacentral:misc_RNA from 1 species